UACGAAGGGGGCUAGCGUUGCUCGGAAUCACUGGGCGUAAAGCGCACGUAGGCGGACUCUUAAGUCGGUGGUGAAAUCCUGGAGCUCAACUCCAGAACUGCCUUCGAUACUGAGAGUCUCGAGUCCGGGAGAGGUGAGUGGAACUGCGAGUGUAGAGGUGAAAUGCGUAGAUAUUGGGAGGAACACCAGUGGCGAAGGCGGCUCACUGGACCGGUUCUGACGCUGAGGCGCGAAAGCGUGGGGAGCAAACGGG
rnacentral:rRNA from 1 species